rnacentral:rRNA from 1 species
GACGAACGCUGGCGGCGUGCUUAACACAUGCAAGUCGAGCGGAAAGGCCCUUUCGGGGGUACUCGAGCGGCGAACGGGUGAGUAACACGUGAGUAAUCUGCCCUUGGCUUUGGGAUAACUACCGGAAACGGUGGCUAAUACCGGAUACGACGUACUCAGGCAUCUGAUGUGCGUGGAAAGUCUUUUCGGCCAGGGAUGUGCUCGCGGCCUAUCAGCUUGUUGGUGGGGUAAUGGCCUACCAAGGCUUCGACGGGUAGCCGGCCUGAGAGGGUGACCGGCCACACUGGGACUGAGACACGGCCCAGACUCCUACGGGAGGCAGCAGUGGGAAUAUUGGACAAUGGGCGGAAGCCUGAUCCAGCAACGCCGCGUGAGGGAUGACGGCCU